CUGCACCGUGCUGUCUGGACUGUCUUUAAGAGAACCAGCCAGGUGUGCUCAGCCUCCUCCUGUGAUGUAUCUGGAUUUCAUCCUCCAUGGUGAAAGGCAAAAGGCUGUUUAUCUCUUCUCUGGUCUGUGUAUGAAAGCUACAUGAAAAUGAGCAUUGAAAGGGUUAAGUGCACUCUUCAUGCAGAAAGACAAAACUUGUGGAUUUUCUAUUCCAUUGGGUCCAAACAAGAAGAACGGUCUGUUGCUAUUAUUUUAGGAUUCAACUCAAUAGCUGAUAAAUUUGAU
rnacentral:lncRNA from 1 species